CUCUUGUCCACACUCCUGUCCAUGCUCCUGUUCCUGCUCCUGUUCCUGCUCCUCCCAAAUGUUGCUGUUUCUGCGCCUCGGUCGGAGGACCGGCCGAGGCCUGUGCCUGCGCCUCGGUCGGAGGACAAACAGGCAAAAAGAGAAGCCCAUAACUGAAGUUCAAGUGGUUGGAGGAAGAGCCGGCCGUGGGCUGUUGGCUGAUCGUGUGUUCAUGAUUUCAGUUUUUUUUUUUUCACCAGAGCAUUUUAUAAUUUAGUAAAAUUGAUUUGAUUUUGUUUUGUUUAGAUAGUUAGUUCGAUAGUUCCUGACGAAGUCUUGAUGCAAUAAACACAUUUAUGUAGUACUUUUUAUGUGUUUAAAAACCUAAAAACGGGUCAGUGCCGACCCUUACACCAGAGGAAGGAUAUAUAUUUUUCAAGUCUCCGUUAUAAACUAAAUGAAUGAAUAAUCGUGUGUUUUGUCCUGUGUUGUCUGCAGCAAAUCUGAGGGAAACAGAAACAAUUCACUUGUCUUUUCAACAGUAGCACCAAUAACAAUACCUUGUGGAAACUAAAAUGUGGUACACAUUGGACAGACUGCUCCGUCAGGAUCAAUUUGGGAUUUGGGAUUCAGCAUCUUGCUCAAGGACACUUCGACAUGCAGCUCAGCUCAGCCAGGCAGAGCUGCAAUUCAAACUAGCGACCUUCUGAUCACUAGACAACCUGCUCUACCCCCUGAGCUACAGCCGCCCUAAGUUAAAGCUGUUCUCUCUUACUUCUUAACUCAUGGCUGCCCUUCAUGAUGUUGGUAUUGUCUUACAAAUGCAACAGGAGAUGGUGCGCAGCACCACUGCAUGUCUCUACAGAAUGUAUUAUGCUUUUUUAGCCAGUUCAGCCAAAAACAAAAAUAACAUUUAGAUGUAAUUUUACACGUAGGUUUGGUACAGGUAAAUUGUUUGAAUGGCAAUGUUGGAAGACAAACAACACUUCAACAAGUCGAGGUGAGAUGAUGAGAUGAGACAGUGUGGCCAAACUGACAGGUUUCAAAAUUAAAGGGCCAUAAAGAUUUUCAGCAGCAACAGCUUCUUUGUUUUUCUCUCGUGUCAAAAGUAGAACUCUGCAAUGGCUGCUUUAUGGUGAUCUUACGGCAACUCAGAGAGGACACACUACCUCACACAUACCACAAGACAUUUGAUUGAGUCCUUUAUUUAUUCAGGGAAGGUCAAUUGAGACCAAGCUCUCUUUUCAAAUGAUGCCUGAAACAUACACAAUAUGAUCAUAA